CACGACUACGAGUUUGAUCCUGGCUCAGAUUGAACGCUGGCGGCAUGCCUAACACAUGCAAGUCGAACGGGGGUCGCGAGACCCUAGUGGCGGACGGGUGAGGAAUGCGUAGGAAUCGGCCCACGAGUGGGGGACAACCUGGGGAAACUCAGGCUAAUACCGCAUGAGCUCGGAAGAGGAAAGCGGGGGACCUUCGGGCCUCGCGCUGGUGGACGAGCCUACGUCCGAUUAGCUGGUUGGUGGGGUAACGGCCCACCAAGGCGACGAUCGGUAGCGGGUCUGAGAGGACGACCCGCCACACUGGGACUGAGACACGGCCCAGACUCCUACGGGAGGCAGCAGUGGGGAAUAUUGGACAAUGGGCGCAAGCCUGAUCCAGCAAUGCCGCGUGGGUGAAGACGGCCUGCGGGUUGUAAAGCCCUUUAGGCGGGGAGGAACGACCGGAUGCCAAUACCAUCUGGAAGGGACGUUACCCGCGGAAUAAGCACCGGCUAACUCCGUG
rnacentral:rRNA from 1 species